GCUAGGUAGGUCUAUCCCGAUAAAUUUUCACAGGAGAGGUCUAUCCUGAUAAUAUUUUCGCGGCCAUAGGUUCCCGUCAAAGAUUCGCCAGGUAGGUCCUUCCCGACAAACUUCAGGGGAUGAAAAUGAAUACAGAGAAGUAUAAGGACAUUGCGCCAAAACCCCACAAGAAUUCCAAUGACAAGCAUGUCCCCACCAAAAAACGAGAGGCAAAGAAGAGGCUGGAGUGCCAAAGGCGAUGAAGAUACCGGAUACAACAAGCCACACGAUUUUCCUUGUCAUAUCAUCAUAUCUAUAUUAUUUCGCUGGACAAUUGUAAGACAAAAUUGAAACCCAUUUUCAGGGUACUGUAGAUCUCACUGAGGAGAAGCUGCAGAAGUAAUUUUAUUUGAAAAACUCCCAUUUUGAUGCAAUGGUUCGUAACUUGUUGAAUUGGUAAAAUCCCAUUUGAUAGGUUGGAUUAUUUUAGCUAAGUGUUGGUGGAACUUGAUAGUAUUUCUUCUUGAGCAAUCGUGUUUUGUUGGGCGGGUUGACAUCACAUGACAAUGUUGCCUGUUUGCUCAGCCACCUCAAGCUGUUCUUAUCAUUCCCAGAUUUCCUUACAUGGAGGAUUGCAUGCCAAUUCCCCAUUCCAGAAGGAUUUUGAGGCCAGAUACAUUGCGGAAUGCAGGGGCUCUCUGGGCUUGUCAUUUGCAAUGCAUUUCCAAAGAGAUUCCUUCAAAGCACAUGCUACAAAGUCUUUGUAUUCUAACUUUGUGAAAAGCACAGAACAAUCAGUCUCCAUGGAUUUUGUUAAUAGGAGUUCCUGCUCAAAUGAAUCAGACUAUCUUAAUUGCAAGUAUUCAGAUAUGUGGAGUUCUUCUACUGGAACUUUAUAUAAACAACAUCCGUUGGGAAUGGUGGAACUGAAAUAUGUAGAAAGCUCUAGCCUUUUGGCCCCUGAUGAGGGACUCAUGGACUUUACUAAUCAGUCGACUGAGAAUGCAAGUAUUUUAUCAGGACCCGUAGAACCUGAAUUCAUUUUAGCUGCUGAUUUAACACCAGAAAAUGUCACCUCUGCAUCUGACCCCCUAGACAUUGAUGGUGAUCAAUUAUCCAGUGUGAAAACUAGUAUUGAGGAUUUUAUUGAUGGGGUUAGUAAGUCUUUCAGUGCUUCAGUCGAUAAGGGAGGAAGUUCUGUUAAAAGCUCACUAGACGCAAUCACUUCAUCAGUAUCAUCUGUUGUUAAAAGUGCUAAUGAAGCAGUGGAUAAUGCUGUUGGCAGAAUGUUUUCCACAAUUGAUCAAACGGGACAAUUAGGUGGCAGUAAAAUGGCAAAUUUUUCAAGCGACUUUAAGGAAGCCACAAGUAAAGGAACUGUUAUUGCUAUUGAUAUUUUGAGACGUACAUUUGUUGUGGUGGAGGAUUCUCUAUCAAAUGGGGUUUCCUUUGUUGUUAGUUCUUACCAGUCUGCCAAGGACUUUCUUCCUCCUGACGUUAGUGAUGCACUAAAUUUUUCUGAAAAGAGAGCAGCAGAGUUCCUGGGGCCUGCCAAGAGUGCUUUUCAACAGGUUUAUAUUGCUAUUGAGGGGUUGGAGGAAAAUCUUGGCUUGGAUCCAAAUGAUCCAAUCAUUCCAUUUGUUAUAUUCCUUGGCACCUCAGCCACUUUAUGGGUCAUUUAUCUGGUGCGGACAUUCAGUGGUUAUGCUGGAGAUUUAUCUCCUCAAUCGACAUUGGAGCUCUUGACAGGGAAGGAGAAUGCUGUGCUCAUUGAUGUCCGACCCGAGGUUAUGAGAGAAAAGGAGGGUAUUCCAGAUCUUCGACGAACAGCUCGCUUUCGUUAUGCAAGCGUGACUCUACCUGAGGUUGAUGGCUCUUUAUGGAAGUUAUUGAAGAGUGGAAAAGAUCUUGAUGAUACCUUAACUGCUGCUGUUAUUCGGAACUUGAAGAUUGUUCAGGACAGGUCCAAGGUCAUUAUUAUGGAUGGUGAUGGUACUCGUUCCAAAGGAAUUGCAAGAUCCUUGAGAAAGCUUGGGCUUAAGAAACCUUACUUGGUUCAAGGUGGCUUUCAGUCUUGGGUGAAACAUGGUCUUCGUAUUAAGGAACUCAAACCCGAGACGACGCUUACCAUACUCAAUGAGGAAGCUGAGGCAAUUCUGGAGAAUAUCAAUCCUUCUCGUGCUCAAGUUCUUGGAUAUGGUGUGAGUGGGAGAAGACAUUGCAAUUGAUUGGCGUUGUUGGCCUUGGUCAGACCAUUUAUCGACGGGUGGCAACUUAUGAGAAUGCUGAAGAUUUCAAGCAAGAUGUGAGGCUGCUGCUUGCGCCUGUUAGAGUUGGAGCUCAGGCAUUUUCGUGGGCUGCUGGAAAAUUGGAAUCAAACGGCAUUGGACUACCAACAUCUCCUUCAUCUUCAGAUGUUAAAAACCGGGUAUUGCAGGCUGCUGCAAAGCAUGAAUCUCAACCGUCUGAUACUGAAGGUAUCCAAGAGUCAUCUCUUGAAUCAACAAUUCCGGUCAAUGACAGUGUAGAUCUCUCCGAAGCAUAAGGUUGAUAUUUCAGCAGCCAACAAAGAACAAAGGUUGAUAUUUUCUAGCAGUAGGCACUCCUUCCAUUAGAGCCUCAUGCUGUAGCUUGAAAUGUGAUCUGAGCUGUAUUAGCAGUGAAUGAAGGUUGAGUUAAUUAACUGAUGAUUCUCUAAGAAGAUGCACUAUAUGGUGAUUGGCCUUUUGUGCAGAAUUAUAGCAUAGUCGUUAUGUUUCAUCCUAAUGAACUGAAGUGAGUUUUGUGCAUCUUGCAUAAAACAAUUAUUCAAUUUUCAGUUGAUGCCAACAAACAAGCACCAACAUGGAUAUAUAGGGGAAGCCGUCGUCAUGUACAGAUUUUGGUCGCAGUCAAUAUAUGGUUAUAGUAAGACUCA